GGGCAACUAGCUCAGCUGGUUAGAGCGUCUCCUUUACACGGAGAAGGUCGCUGGUUCGAGUCCAGCGUUGCCCA
rnacentral:tRNA from 2 species